ACAGAGAGAGAGAGAGACAGAGAGAGAGAGACACAGAGAGAGAGAGACAGAGAGAGAGAGACACAGAGAGAGAGAGAGAGAGAGAGAGAGAGAGAGAGAGAGAACAUGGAGGCGGCCUUUUAUGUUUUCCGCUCUCAUCCAUAAACGUCCACUCAUCCCGAGCGUGCACAGAGACGGGCGGCCGCUGCAUCGCUUGCGAGAGGAUUUAAUGUGUGCAAAUGGCGGAGGCAAAAACAAAAAGGACGGAUGGAAAGAUUAAUGAUUAAGCUUUGUAUGCGCCAGGUAGAUGGAGACGAAGAGAGGCAGCUCUGUGGAUCGGGGAAGGAGCUGGCGUUGACGGACGGCAAAAGACAGCUGCGAAAGCCAAUCAGGGGCUUCCCUGCGCAAGUAACGUUUUAAUCCUGGUCAUAGGGGCUAAAUAUGUCACACUGACAUACUUCCCCUGGAACAACAAACAGCGAGGCGACAAAGGAAUUAAAGUGGUGUGUGUGUGUGUGUGUGUGUUGUGGUGAUAAGUGGGAUUAGAGGAGGGGCCAGAUGCUGGGACAUACAGUCUACAGAUGAAACCUAGAUUUUGGAGAGACUGUUCAGAUACAAAACAGAAAACAGGAUAGAGGAAUGCUAGCAUUGUGGGGAAACCAUCCAUUCGAAUGCAGCCGCUUUUCCUGCUCUCUCCGUACGGACUCGGUGCGGUACGGGAAGCUCCUCCCUCGCUACAGCGGUCAGGGAAACCCACAGCCUCAUGUAGGAGCGUCAACACAUGUUUUCUCCUUUCUCUCCCCGUUUCUCUCUCUCACAGCCGCUUCCUCGGUUCGCGCUGGUCUGACUUCGAGCGGGGAGCGAUGGAAAUAGAGCAGGCUUUCCGAACGCUAGCACCGGCGGUGUGACUUCACACCAUUCUCGCAGGCUGAGUCAUCGCAGCCCACGCUACGCCGAGGCUUCACACAGCCACGUGCCUCAAAAACGCACGAGCGCGCAGCCGAGAGCUUUUCCCGACUGUCAUUGAUAAAGAUGCACGAGGUCGUGUCACCUUGUUCGCGUCUUCUCCCGUGAGACCGAUCCUGCCACGAUCGCCGGCAGCUCUGGCUGCUGAGGGGACGAGGACACGAGUGUUCAUUAGAGACGCUCGCUGCAUUAAAUCCAACGUCGGUGCCGCUUAGGCGAUCAUAAAACAAGCCAAAAAAAUGUCUCCGGUGGGCUCUUUUGACUUGGGCUAGUAAGCAAGGACCCUUCUUGGGCAGGUAUCUCGGUAUCUCUUGAACAAAUGUUAAUGAGGUUAAUGGCUCUCGUGGCACACUGCCGAGGGACCUCCACCGUGAUCAGAAAGGAGGCACCUGACAAUCUCAAAUUGAACAACAAUGACCGAUGACAAAAUCUAAAUCACGAUUUUUUUAAUAUCUGUUGAAAUAAAUAGCAAGUGUUUAUUUAUUAAGAUUUUUUUGCUCCAAAAUGAAACCACACCGUUCACUUGACUUCAAAUACAUACAGAUCUUGAAAAAUGAGCAUCUUUUAUGCAUAUUCUAAUCAGAGCGUGCGCAAAAAUGCUUUUUUUGUUAAGCAUUCGGCAUUAUCGGACUUAUACGCUUGCCACAGCGAAGCUCAAAGCUACGAUGCGCGGUUAUUUUGUUUCGGUAAGGUUUCUGGAUGGGUGCUGUGUGGUUGCUAACGUGUUUUUGGGUAGUGGCAUACUGGCA